rnacentral:tRNA from 1 species
GCCUGGGUGGCUCAGUCGGUUAAGCGUCCGACUUCGGCUCAGGUCAUGAUCUCACGGGUCGUGGGUUUGAGCCCCGCAUCAGGCU